CCUACGGGUGGCAGCAGUGAGGAAUAUUGGUCAAUGGACGCAAGUCUGAACCAGCCAUGCCGCGUGCAGGAUGACGGCCCUAUGAGUUGUAAACUGCUUUUGUACGAGGGUAAACGCAGAUACGAGUACCUGUCUGAAAGUACUGUACGAAUAAGGAUCGGCUAACUCCGUGCCAGCAGCCGCGGUAAUACGGAGGAUUCGAGCGUUAUCCGGAUUUAUUGGGUUUAAAGGGUGUGUAGGCGGUUGGUUAAGUUAGUGGUGAAAGCCCGCGGCUCAACUUGGGAAUUGCAUCUGAUACUGUACGGCUAGAGAGUAGUUGCGGUAGGCGGAAUUUAUGGUGUAGCGGUGAAAUGCUUAGAGAUCACACAGAACACCGAUUGCGAAGGCAGCUUACCAAGCUACUACUGACGUUGAUGCACGAAAGCGUGGGGAGCAAACAGGAUUAGAUACCCUAGGAGUC
rnacentral:rRNA from 1 species